UCCUCAGUAGUAUAGUGGUAAGUAUUCCUGCCUGUCAUGUGGGAGACCAGGGUUCAAUUCCCUGCGAAGGAC
rnacentral:tRNA from 1 species